UACGGAGGGUGCAAGCGUUAUCCGGAUUCACUGGGUUUAAAGGGUGCGUAGGUGGGCUAGUAAGUCCGUGGUGAAAUCUCCAAGCUUAACUUGGAAACUGCCGUGGAUACUAUUAGUCUUGAAUCUCGUGGAGGUAAGCGGAAUAUGUCAUGUAGCGGUGAAAUGCUUAGAUAUGACAUAGAACACCGAUAGCGAAGGCAGCUUGCUACACGAGUAUUGACACUGAGGCACGAAAGCGUGGGGAGCGAACAGG
rnacentral:rRNA from 1 species